rnacentral:misc_RNA from 1 species
AGAAGCUGUUCAUAAUCUGGUGGUAAGAACUCUUAUUGUAGUAGUUACUUCAUCCUAUACCAUGUAUGAAUUAGAACCUUUCCUUCUCUCUCCCUUCUAGCUUGUUGUUUAGGGAAUGAAAGCACCAUAGUUGUUAAAGGGUUAAGGCGCAACAAGUUGCUAAGGGUCCUGGAACCUGGGCAUAUAGUUGUUAAAGGGCACGACUUAGGCGCCAGGUGCUUAAGGCUCAAAGGUUUACACCUAGAAACCCUCCUAACGGGCAAUGUUGCAAAGGCGCACCCAAGCGCACCAAGGU